CAGUAGCGUAUAUUAAAGUUGUUGCAGUUAAAAUGCUCGUAGUUGAAGUUCGGAUGCAGCAGAGCUUGGAAACGCUGUUAUGGUGCUUCCGUUGCUUUUGCUUGUCCACAGUGCGUUGCAAGUACGUAUGUGCUUGUGCGUGCAUUUUACUUUGAGAAACAUAGGGUGUUCCACGCAUGUUACGGCAUGAAUAUUCCAGCCUGGGAUAAUCUGGUACGACUUCCAAUCUGCCAUUUUGGUUCGUAGGUUGGAAGUAAUGAUUAAUAGGGACUGUCGGGGGCAUUGGUAUUUGACUGUCAGAGGUGAAAUUCUUAGAUUCGUUGAGGACCAACCACUGCGAAAGCAUUUGUCAAGGAUGUCUCCAUUAA
rnacentral:rRNA from 1 species